rnacentral:rRNA from 1 species
GAUGAACGCUGGCGGCGUGCCUAAUACAUGCAAGUCGAGCGAACGGACGAGACGCUUGCUUUUCUGAUGUUAGCGGCGGACGGGUGUGUAACACGUGGAUAACCUACCUAUAAGACUGGGAUAACUUCGGGAAACCGGAGCUCAUACCGGAUAAUAUUUUGAACCGCAUGGUUCAACAGUGAAAGACGGUCUUGCUGUCACUUAUAGAUGGAUCCGCGCUGCAUUAGCUAGUUGGUAAGGUAACGGAUUACCAAGGCAACGAUGCAUAGCCGACCUGAGAGGGUGAUCGGCCACACUGGAACUGAGACACGGUCCAGACUCCUACGGGAGGCAGCAGUAGGGAAUCUUCCGCAAUGGGCGAAAGCCUGACGGAGCAACGCCGCGUGAGUGAUGAAGGUCUUCGGAUCGUAAAACUCUGUUAUUAGGGAAGAACAUAUGUGUAAGUAACUGUGCACAUCUUGACGGUACCUAAUCAGAAAGCCACGGCGAACUACGUG